rnacentral:lncRNA from 1 species
AUCAACACAAGUUGGUCAAAGGAGGACUUUUACCAAAUUAAGAUCAUUCAUUCAUUUUGGGAGAUGAAAUGUACAUUUCAUCAAUCCCCUAAACCCAAUGAUCUUAACUCAACAAAGUCAAACCAACCUUGACCAAUGCCCAACAACACAAGUCAAACUCAAAAAGUCAAUUAAAAUGGCUCAACAUAAUUUAUUUGGC